UACGGAGGGUGCAAGCGUUAUCCGGAUUCACUGGGUUUAAAGGGUGCGUAGGAGGGCAGGUAAGUCAGUGGUGAAAUCUCCGAGCUUAACUUGGAAACUGCCGUUGAUACUAUCUGUCUUGAAUAUUGUGGAGGUGAGUGGAAUAUGUCAUGUAGCGGUGAAAUGCUUAGAUAUGACAUAGAACACCAAUUGCGAAGGCAGCUCGCUACACAUAUAUUGACUCUGAGGCACGAAAGCGUGGGGAUCAAACAGG
rnacentral:rRNA from 1 species